rnacentral:rRNA from 1 species
UACGUAGGGGGCGAGCGUUGUCCGGAGUUACUGGGCGUAAAGGGCGUGCAGGCGGUGCGGUAAGUUUAGAGUGACAGUAUCCGGCUUAACUGGAUAAGGCCUCUGAAAACUGCCGGACUUGAGGGCCAGAGAGGGACAUAGAAUUCCGGGUGGAGUGGUGAAAUGCCGUAGAGAUGUGGAGGAACACCGAUGGCGAAGGCAGCCCCCUGGGUCAAGAUUGACGCUCAUGCACGAA